GCAAGUAAUCAACAACACAAAGUUCAUUAAUAAGUAUUUCCUCAGAUGCAUUAAGUUACAUUCUUUAGGUAUAAACCUCCCAGGUGCAAUGCAUCCUGGGGAAACUUGCUUUAUAUUGCGAAAAAUAUUUGUAAACUGAGGCAUUAUUUUCAAUGGAUUUUAAUUUGUAAACCGAAAAUUAUGUUAACCGAGGCAUUUGUAAAC